rnacentral:rRNA from 1 species
ACGGAGGAUCCAAGCGUUAUCCGGAUUUAUUGGGUUUAAAGGGUGCGUAGGUGGGAUAAUAAGUCAGAGGUGAAAGCUAGCAGCUUAACUGUUAAAUUGCCUUUGAUACUGUUAUUCUUGAGUAUAGUUGGCGUUGGCGGAAUGUGACAUGUAGCGGUGAAAUGCGUAGAUAUGUCACAGAACACCGAUCGCGAAGGCAGCUAACGAAACUAUCACUGACACUGAUGCACGAAAGCGUGGGGAGCAAACAGGA